AGAGUUUGAUCCUGGCUAAGGAUGAACGCUAGCGGGAGGCCUAACACAUGCAAGUCGAACGGGAAUGCAAUACCAUGAGAGUGGCGCACGGGUGAGUAACGCGUAUGCAACCUGCCUUUAACAGGGGGAUAGCCCGUUGAAAGACGGAUUAAUACCCCAUAGUAUUUAGUUUCUGCAUGGGAAUUAAAUUAAAGCUCCGGCGGUUAAAGAUGGGCAUGCGUGACAUUAGCUAGUUGGUGAGGUAACGGCUCACCAAGGCGACGAUGUCUAGGGGUUCUGAGAGGAUGAUCCCCCGCUCUGGUACUGAGACACGGACCAGACUCCUACGGGAGGCAGCAGUGAGGAAUAUUGGUCAAUGGCCGCAAGGCUGAACCAGCCAUCCCGCGUGAAGGAAGACUGCCCUAUGGGUUGUAAACUUCUUUUCUGCACCAAGGAUCCUCGAGAGGGUCCUUGCCGGUAGUGCAGGAAUAAGCAUCGGCAAGUCCCGUGCCAGCAGCCGCGGUAAUACGGAGGAUGCAAGCGUUAUCCGGAUUCAUUGGGUUUAAAGGGUGCGUAGGCGGCUUUUUAAGUCAGUGGUGAAAUCCUGCCGCUUAACGGUAGAAUUGCCAUUGAUACUGAUAGGCUUGAGUGCAGUUGAGGUAGGCGGAAUGUGUAGUGUAGCGGUGAAAUGCUUAGAUAUUACACAGAGACGCGAUUGCGAAGGUAGCUUACUAAGCUGCAACUGACGCUGAUGCACGAAAGCGUGGGGAUCAAACAGGAUUAGAUACCCUGGUAGUGGUCGCUGUAAACGAUGCUCACUCGCUGUUUGCGAUAUACCGUAAGCGGCCAAUCGAAAGUAUUAAGCGAGCCACCUGGGCAGUACGAUCGCAAGGUUGAAACUCAAAGGAAUUGACGGGGGCCCGCACAAGCGGAGGAACAUGUGGUUUAAUUCGAUGAUACGGGAGGAACCUUAUUUGGGCUUAAAUGGGCAGUGACAGCUGCCGAAAGGUGGCCCCCUUCGGACACUCUACAAGGUUGCAUGGUUGUCGUCAGCUGUAGCCGUGAGGUGUCGGGUUAAGUCCCAUAACGAGCGCAACCCCCAUCGUUAGUUGCCAGCGGGUCAAGUCGGGGACUCUAGCGAGACUGCCAGGGUAAGGUGAGAGGAAGGUGGGGAUGACUCAAAUCAGCACGGCCCUUAUGUCCAGGGCUACACACGUGUUACAAUGGCCGGUACAAAGGGCAGCUACCUGGUGACAGGAUGCUAAUCUCGAAAGGCGGUCUCAGUUCGGGAUGAAGUCUGCAACCCGACUUCGUGAAGCUGGAUUCGCUAGUAAUCGCGCAUCAGCCAUGGCGCGGAGAAUACGUUCCCGGGCCUUGUACACACCGCCCGUCAAACAAUGGAAGCCGCCGGUACCUGAAGUAUGUAACCGCAAGGCAU
rnacentral:rRNA from 1 species